rnacentral:rRNA from 1 species
AGCGAACGCUGGCGGCAGGCCUAACACAUGCAAGUCGAACGAAGUCUUCGGACUUAGUGGCGGACGGGUGAGUAACACGUGGGAACGUGCCUUUAGGUUCGGAAUAACUCAGGGAAACUUGUGCUAAUACCGAAUGUGCCCUUCGGGGGAAAGAUUUAUCGCCUUUAGAGCGGCCCGCGUCUGAUUAGCUAGUUGGUGAGGUAAGGGCUCACCAAGGCUACGAUCAGUAGCUGGUCUGAGAGGAUGACCAGCCACAUUGGGACUGAGACACGGCCCAAACUCCUACGGGAGGCAGCAGUGGGGAAUCUUGCGCAAUGGGCGGAAGCCUGACGCAGCCAUGCCGCGUGGAUGAUGAAGGUCUUAGGAUUGUAAAAUCCUUUCACCGGUGAAGAUAAUGACUGUAGCCGGAGAAGAAGCCCCGGCUAACUUCGUGCCAGCAGCCGCCGUAAGAC